ensembl:lncRNA
CACACAUAUUCACACACCCAUUCAUACACUACAGACAGUUUAGACAUUCCAAUCAGCCUACAAUGCAUGUCUUUGGACUGGGGGAGGAAACUGGAGUACCUGGAAGAAACCCCCGAAGCACGGGGAGAACAUGCAAACUCUGCACACACAGGGCUGUGGCGGGAAAUGAACCUCCAACUCUGGAGGUGUGAGGCGAACGUGCUAAGCCACAGUGCCCCCUAUUAUUAUUAUUAUUAUUAUUAUUAUUAUUAUUAUUAUUAUUAUUAUCAUCAUUAUUAUUGUUGUUGUUGUUGUUGUCUGAUAAAUGUGCAUCAAUAUUUACAUGUAAGAAUCAGGGAUGAUUUUAAGCAUCACAAAAGUGACUCCACAUAUAGCUGAUUUUACCACAUGCUUUCUUUGCUGGACAUGCACAAGCAAAACAGAUAAAACCAAAGCAAUAUGAGUGAAAACAAACAUAUUUGUAAUUAAACAAGCACAUAAAUAAUAAUUUAGCAAAAUCUGCUGGUCUAAUUCAAAUAAAUGAAAUAUGAGCUACUUACCAAAUAUUUGUGCGGUGGAUCAGUUUUGGUGACUAUAUAAGCAAGAAAUUAGAGAUGGGAUUAUUCAAAGUUUUGGAAAGUAAUGCAAUGUACAUAACAGAACUAUAAGACCAUAAGUACUAUUAAGGUUUACCUUACAGCUGCAAAUGUUUUUGAGCACCCCAGCUAAAUUAGAUAUUUUAUUGAUUUUUGAAGUGAAAAGAAGUGAAAACACAAUCUCUACAGCAAACAAUUUUUUUUUAAAAAAUCUGCAAAUAUUAAAGCACAAUGACUUUAUAUUUGAUGAGCAUCUAAAAUAGAAAAAUUAUAAGAGUAAUUGUUGCAUGUGCAAACGUCUACAGUCUCAGAACUUAAUUUACUCAUUACGCCCUUGUGCUAACAUUUAAUUCAUGUGGCAGCCAAUGGCAUAGAGAACAUUGUGCAGGUAGAUGGAAGAAUGGAUUCCAGUAAACGUGUAGGAAAUUCUAGAAACAAUUUGUGGCACAGUCAAGAAACUGAAGCUGAACAGAGACUGGCUUCUACAACAGGACAAUAACCCAAAACAAACCUCAAAAUUCACCCUGAACUACUCCAAUAAAAGCUUUAGGAAAUUCUCUAACAGUCCCCUGACUUGAAAAUCUGUGUGUAGAUCAGCCCAAGAAUAUCUAAGAAAUCUUUCUGCAAGGAUGAGUGGGUUAAAAUUCCUAAAAGAAGAAUAGGAAGACUCUCACAAGUAUAGAUAAGCCAAUCAAUGAUUUCUCAUUGAAUGUAUUUGCAAAAUAAUAUGUCAAACACAGCUGCUUGAAAAGUCUUCAGCUAUAUUGCGUCUUUUUGAUUGAUCAUCCAUUUUAUUUUAUAUUGUUGCAGUCACAGGACUGUAACUAGUGACUAGUAUCUAGCAAGAAUAAUGCAAUCCGGUAAUUGUGUAUAAAUACAGCUGCAGAGGUACCAGUGAUAUGUGUUGUGGUAUUGACUUGUAUUAACACACCUGAGGAUAAUUUUGCUGAUGUUGAUAUUGUUAUGGUGGUUGUUGUUACAGGGUCUGGUGUUACAGGGUCUGGUGUUACUGGGCCUGGUGUUACAGGGUCUGAUGUUACAGGGUCUGAUGUUACAAGGUCUGUUGUAAAGGAUGGUGUCGUGAUUGAAGAAGAGAUUUCUUAUGAUCCAGAAUAUUUCAUAUGUCUUAACGAAUGUAGCCCUGAAAGAGCACAUAAAUGACAGUAAUCAUGACUCCAUAAUUUGUAAUCCAUAAUUUGUUCACCUGUCUAUUGCAUUGUGUUUACAAAUAAAUAGAGAAAUAACCUGAAAAAAUAAUCUCCGGUUUCAGAAACAUUCCAUUUGACCAUUAUUUCAGCCUUUUUUCGGUUAUUUGUUUGCGUUACAGCUGUAUCCUGGUUAAAGAAAGACAUAAAAAGCAUUUUAAAUAGCCAUAUUAUUCUUCAACUACACCUAUUCAGCUAUGCUCUAUUUCUCAAUUUAUAAUAAAGUGACACAUAAUUACACUUAAAUUGAACAGGCAAAUACAUAUUUUCUUUUAAAAAAUUUACAAUGGAAACAGAUUUGGACGGUUAUGAUCAUGUCAUACCUGUAGUAGUGGGCACAUGAUUGAACAAAUAUAAAUUAUUAUUAUUAUUACAAUAAUCUCACAGUUUAUUAAUUGAAGGGCUUCCUUGUAUUUUGAAGCCCAAUAAAGUUUUGGGACCACUAUUGUAGUAUAAGAAUUUUAAGAAUAGUCAUGUCGUUACAUCCUGCUCUUGUUUUGGUUGGUUAAGCUAGUGGAAAAUUGAGAAAGAAGACACUCACCUUCAUACCAUUACAUGUCUGAAGUCUGCUUAAGCUUGUAUCCACCAAAGAAAAAAUCCCCUGAGGUGUUGUUUUGUCUGGUUUUUGUGCUUUCAACAAAAAACCACGGAAUGAUUCAUAGCCAUCAGCUUUCAGUGUUACUUUAGAUAAAAAUAAGAUAAUUGGUUUUAAAAAAUAUAUAAGAUAAGAGAUGAUGUUCUAAUGUGUGGUUCUGGUACUGCACAGGUCACACAAGUCAUUAUCUUUGUUUAUGUUCCCAAUUAUCAUGCACAAAAUGCAGCUUUAAGUGUUUUUCCUUUCAUGUCACAUAUGCAGUAUACUGAAACAAUUUUGUAAUUGGGUGUGAUGGCCAUACAAUGUGUUCUUUAAUUCUGUACUAUACUUGUAUAUGUCUAUUUAGUUGUUAUUAUCCACUGAAACCUUGCACAUGAGGACACAUGUUGAUUAAUAUGAUGGAAAUAUGAACGUAGAAAUGUCUCACAGCUAGGAUAAAUGCCAGACUGAUUUCAAAAAGCAAUAAAGUCGCAAGUGGUGAUGAAAGGGUGACUUUGUGAUGGAUUUGGAAGUUAUGAAUUCAUCCUUUUCAUUUAGUUUCACUUGGUGAUUCUGUGAUGGACAUUUUCUUUUUGGGAGGGAGAUGUUAUGAGAAUAUUAGUUCACACAGCAGUGUAAUGACACAGCAAAUAUUGUUGAAUUUUAAGGUGUGGUCUUAAAUCUACCUAGCUACCACAUUUGCUGUGAUAUAGGCUGACUUUCCAUCAGCACUUUGUUAGGGUGUCAUUUGCAAACAGUUAUAAAUAUCAAUGUCCUUUUCAUAGCUUUUGUGACACAUAGUUGCAAUUAUUUUAAGUUUAAGGAUAAUGGUACCAAACUUUUAGGAGGAGUAAUGAAAACAAUAUAUAUAUUUGGUAAACCUUGAAAUGCCAGGAUAGGCCUUAAAGCUAAGAACCAUUAAUUGGCAGUAAAAGAAAGAAAAAGACACCCACCAUUAAAGGAUUUUCCCACAUCUGAAGAAUUAACUCUGAUCAUAUCUGGGAUAACUUUAAAAGGUGGUUCAGUGUUCUGAGGUAGAUAGGUGCUGUGAACAACUUCCAUUGUCUGACAUAUAGCUGGAUAAGCGUCAAAAUUGCCACUGCUGUAACAUUUCACGAAGUGUAAUAUGAGUCCUCCUAAGUAAAUAAAGAUUAUAACUUGGGGUUUCAUCUAUAAAGCAAAGAAGAGAAAAUAAGAUAUUAUUUAGAUGAAUGUUGCAUUAAUUUAAAAUUAGAGCAAUGCUAAAACAUUUCCAGCGGUGUACUAAAGACCUUUCUUUCAAGUAAAAAAAAAAGCAAGAUCAUUUUCAACUAAACAAUGAGCACAGCCAAUUUUGGACUUCCAGCCAUGGAUAGCUGUGAUCUCCAGACAACCGGGCAAACGUGUUUCUGUUGCUCCAAUUGGGAGCUCUAUGUGGUUCAUGGAACCACUAGAAUAAAUGUGGAGAGAAACACCUGAAUACCUACUUGUGCACAUGCACAUACAUGCCAAGACCUUCCACAAAUUGUGUGACAUUGUGGAAUAGGGCUGGGUAAUAUAACAAUAUAAUAUCAACAUCAUGAUAAAUUUUGUCAAAAUACACUUUUCUGAGAUAUUGUUGGUAUUGUGAUAUUUUUAUUUUUUAUUUUUUAUUAAUUACAAACGAAGUGGAAUUGAAUGGAAGUAGCUGAUUUGAUAUAAUUUUUUUUUUUUUACUUAACCUUUAAAAUUGUCAGUAAAAACAUUCCCCCUUUUCUGUCCUGGAAUUUAAAUAAAAGUAUCAUCAAACUGAAUUUUAAUGGGUUUUAAUGCAGCACUCCUGUUUUACUGGCAGUUUGUUAUCUAAAUUAUAUAACGUAUUACAUAUUGUGCGUCGUGCAAAUGUUUUCAUAGUGUUGUGAUGUGAUAUUUUUGUCAUAUCGCCCAGCGGUACUGGGAGGGUGUCCUGUCUAUGUGAGCAAGCGCAUAAAGAGGUAUUCAAGUCAUCUCCCCAGCUCCAGUGGUUAGAGGUGCAACAGAAGUGGAAUUUGAAAACUAAGAAAACUAAGAACAGAUGUCUAAAGAUUUUAGAUUACUUACCGGAAAUAAAAUGUUAUAACAAAUUGAACUGUAAAUCUCAUAAAAACCUAAAUCAACCUACUUUUUUUUUAACCUAGAUUAUAGUCAUCUACUUCACAUAAUAUCUAACGUCUUGUACUGUUAGGAUACAGUAUGGAGUCAGUACAGUGGGUUGUAAGACUUACUACAAGUGCAAUAUUACACAAGUCUUACAGAAGUGCUGUAAUAAAAAAUUUGAUUUAAAUUUUAAACAUUUAUUUUACAUUUUUUAAGAAUUUUUUUUUCAAAACUUUUUGAUUGUAGGAGUUACACAAAAGUAAACGCACUAUGAUACUGUGCAUUAUUGUUACCAAGUACAGCAAAAAGAUUUUAAAAAGCACAGUCUAAUUUUUUUUAUUUUACUUUAUUGUUGUUGUAAUCAAAAUUCAGUAGCUUUUUGACUCUAGAAGUUAGAAAUGUGAAGCCAAAUGCACAAUCAUAGCAUUCAUUUUUCAUAUAAUAAAAAAAUAUAUAUUCACCCAGCCACUCUUCAAACUGCUUUUUGGAUUAGUUUUAUUAUUAUAAUUCUCAAGUGUAACUGCUACCAACAAAAUGUUAUUGACUUUUGAUUAUUUUUACAUUUUCACAUUUUUAAAUAAAAAAAUUAAAAACUGAAUUUUUCAAAUCUGUUUGUUGUAGUUAGUAGACUGUAUCAUAAUGUAUUUGCGUUUACUUUGUAACUCCUACAGUAAACAAGUUAUUGAAUUUUGAUUAUUACUUUUUCUUUUUUUAAAAACUUGUUUACAGAACAAAAUAACAGUAAAAACAUUAGAUUUCAAAAUCAUU